CUGCUUAGUUAAGCUCAGCUCCAAAUGGAGUCAGAGCUGGGCGCAAAUAACUCAGCAUCUCAGCCUUUUUUCUUAAACAUCACAACCACCAGCAGCCUGGAUAGUGAAGAUGGCAACAACUAGCUUUGCCCUUUUUGCCUGCUCAACUUUUUAAAAAUAUGCUUUUUGGGCCAAAUUUCAAGUUACAAAUUUUUUCCCUCAGAUGCAUGCGAAAAGUCUUCAUUUGAAAGUUUGCUAAGCAACAAAUCCUUCAAAUAGAACAGGUUGCAACUCUGCUCUGCCUGGAAAGAACACGUUCAUCAGCCUUGGCUGGGUGAGGACAUGGACAGAUGUUUUGUUCCAGAUACAGCUGUGCAGAGGAAAGAGGUUUUCCAUCCACAGCCAGGAAGAAAUUGGAGAGCUGCUUCAUCAGAGCAAAUCCCUCCUGUGGUUGUUCUCAUGGAAAGGAUCAUAUUGAUGAAUCAGUGCAGCUACCCUCUCAGCCAUGGAAGAGUACCUCACACCAAAAAAUCCAUAGGUGACUAAUAGCUGUGCAGAAAAUGAAUUGCUAAAUGAAGUUUGUCAUCUGGGAUAUUCCUGCACAUCUGAUCCCCUUCCAUGGAGUGCCCAAAGAGAACUACUGUGCCAGAGAGCAGAGCACAUUUCAAAGGAUUCACGGGAUUUCUGAUGGCAGACAUCAAACAAAACGGGCAUUGUUUCACAGAUACACAAAGUAGUAGAGAAAGGGAAGUGGAAACUUCAGCAACGUCCCCCACAGAAACAACAGAACGUACAGCAAGUUAUGCGGUAGAUUCAACUGCAGAUUGCGUUACCUCACCAGCAGUGCGAGAGCAGAGGAAACCUAAACCCUGUGUAACCAGUGCUCAGUGUUUCCUAUUGCAGCCAGCACGCUGCAUCGACUUUUUGGAAGGAACUGAACGUAACUAAAACCUCGAAGACGUGCGCGGCACGAGCGGCUUUUCUUCAUCUUACUGUGGGGAGAAGAAGGAACAGGAGCGCAAUUUCAGCUCCUCAGAGGCUCCAGCUCUACUCUGAUGCUGUCCAGGUGAAAGACAGCCAUUCCUAUUGGUUAUAACAGCAGUCCCUGGGCUUGGAGCACAUUUAACACCGAGAUGUCUGCAGUAACACCUCCCAGCUUGUAGCCCAGGUGCCGCACACACGCCCCUGCGCUGGAUAUUGCAGUGAUCUCACAGUCCACUUGCAGAUGGUUCCUCCUGUCCUUUGAGCUGGUUGGAAGAUAAACUUUGGUCAGUGUAUUGUACCGUGCCCUUUGUAAUGAAAUAACGUUGGGUAAUAUGAAUUUAGUGGUGGGAUUUAAAUUCCCGAGCUGAUUACAAGGAGCUGCUAAGACUUGAAAGGUUUAGCAGUGCCCCGUGUGCGAGUGUGGAAUGAUGUGUACUGUCGCAGCGCUUGUGCUCUCUCUG